rnacentral:rRNA from 1 species
GCUGGCGGCGUGCUUACACAUGCAAGUCGAGCGGAGUAACCCAACGGAAGUUUUCGGACGGAAGAUGGAAUUACUUAGCGGCGGACGGGUGAGUAACGCGUGGGCAACCUGCCCUGUACAGAGGAAUAACAUUGGGAAACCAGUGCUAAUACCUCAUAUACCCUUCGGGUGGCAUCACCUGAAGGGGAAAGAUUUAUCGGUACAGGAUGGGCCCGCGUCUGAUUAGUUAGUUGGUGAGGUAACGGCUCACCAAGACGAUGAUCAGUAGCCGACCUGAGAGGGUGAUCGGCCACACUGGAACUGAGACACGGUCCAGACUCCUACGGGAGGCAGCAGUGGGGAAUAUUGCACAAUGGGGGAAACCCUGAUGCAGCAACGCCGCGUGAGCGAUGAAGGCCUUCGGGUCGUAAAGCUCUGUCCUAAGGGAAGAUAUAGACGGUACCUUAGGAGGAAGCCCCGGCUAACUACGUGCCAGCAGCCGCGGUAAUACGUAGGGGGCAAGCGUUAUCCGGAAUUACUGGGCGUAAAGGGUGCGUAGGCGGUCUAAUAAGUCAGAGGUGAAAGACUAUUGCUCAACGAUAGCAAGCCUUUGAAACUAUUGGACUUGAGUGCAGGAGAGGAGAGUGGAAUUUCUAGUGUAGCGGUGAAAUGCGUAGAUAUUAGAAGGAACACCAGUGGCGAAGGCGACUCUCUGGACUGCAACUGACGCUGAGCACGAAAGCGUGGGGAGCAACAGGAUUAGAUACCCUGGUAGUCCCGCCGUAACGAUGAGUGCU